GCAAGUCGAGCGGAUGAAGGUAGCUUGCUACCUGAUUCAGCGGCGGACGGGUGAGUAAUGCCUAGGAAUCUGCCUGGUAGUGGGGGACAACGUUUCGAAAGGAACGCUAAUACCGCAUACGUCCUACGGGAGAAAGUGGGGGAUCUUCGGACCUCACGCUAUCAGAUGAGCCUAGGUCGGAUUAGCUAGUUGGUGAGGUAAUGGCUCACCAAGGCGACGAUCCGUAACUGGUCUGAGAGGAUGAUCAGUCACACUGGAACUGAGACACGGUCCAGACUCCUACGGGAGGCAGCAGUGGGGAAUAUUGGACAAUGGGCGAAAGCCUGAUCCAGCCAUGCCGCGUGUGUGAAGAAGGUCUUCGGAUUGUAAAGCACUUUAAGUUGGGAGGAAGGGUUGUAACCUAAUACGUUGCAAUUUUGACGUUACCGACAGAAUAAGCACCGGCUAACUCUGUGCCAGCAGCCGCGGUAAUACAGAGGGUGCAAGCGUUAAUCGGAAUUACUGGGCGUAAAGCGCGCGUAGGUGGUUUGUUAAGUUGGAUGUGAAAGCCCCGGGCUCAACCUGGGAACUGCAUCCAAAACUGGCAAGCUAGAAUACGGUAGAGGGUGGUGGAAUUUCCUGUGUAGCGGUGAAAUGCGUAGAUAUAGGAAGGAACACCAGUGGCGAAGGCGACCACCUGGACUGAUACUGACACUGAGGUGCGAAAGCGUGGGGAGCAAACAGGAUUAGAUACCCUGGUAGUCCACGCCGUAAACGAUGUCAACUAGCCGUUGGGUUCCUUGAGAACUUAGUGGCGCAGCUAACGCAUUAAGCUGACCGCCUGGGGAGUACGGCCGCAAGGUUAAAACUCAAAUGAAU
rnacentral:rRNA from 1 species